CCUACGGGAGGCAGCAGUAAGGAAUAUUGGUCAAUGGAGGCAACUCUGAACCAGCCAUGCCGCGUGCAGGAAGAAGGCCCUAUGGGUCGUAAACUGCUUUUGUACCAGAGAAAACCACAGUACGUGUACUGUGUUGAUAGUAUGGUAAGAAUAAGCAUCGGCUAACUUCGUGCCAGCAGCCGCGGUAAGACGAAGGAUGCAAGCGUUAUCCGGAUUCAUUGGGUUUAAAGGGUGCGUAGGCGGACUGAUAAGUCAGUGGUGAAAUCUCUCAGCUUAACUGAGAAACUGCCAUUGAUACUGUUAGUCUAGAGUAUAGAUGACGUUGGCGGAAUAUGACAUGUAGUGGUGAAAUACUUAGAUAUGUCAUAGAACACCGAUUGCGAAGGCAGCUAACGAAACUAUAACUGACGCUGAGGCACGAAAGUGCGGGGAUCAAACAGGAUUAGAUACCCUGGUAGUCCGCACCGUAAACGAUGAUUACUCGUUGUUGGCAAUAUGACCGUCAGCGACCAAGCGAAAGCGAANAGANACACGNGGAGUACGCGGCGACGAGAACGACGAAGAAGUAGAGACGNGAGAGNGCGACGGACGACGACGAGGGAGGAGG
rnacentral:rRNA from 1 species